GACGAACGCUGGCGGCGUGCCUAAUACAUGCAAGUCGAACGAAGCUGUUUUAACUGGUGCUUGCACCGACUUAAACAACUGAGUGGCGAACGGGUGAGUAACACGUGGGUAACCUGCCCCAAAGCGGGGGAUAACAUUUGGAAACAGAUGCUAAUACCGCAUAACCACAGAAACCACAUGGUUUCUGUGUCAAAGAUGGUUUCGGCUAUCACUUUGGGAUGGAACCGCGGCGUAUUAGCUAGUUGGUAAGGUAAUGGCUUACCAAGGCAAUCGUACGGUGCCGAACUGAGAGGUUGAUCGGCCACAUUGGGACUGAGACACGGCCCAAACUCCUACGGGAGGCAGCAGUAGGGAAUCUUCCACAAGGGACUAAAGUCUGAUGGAGCAACGCCGCGUGAGUGAAGAAGGGUUUCGGAUCGUAAAACUCUGUUGUCAGAGAAGAACGUGUGCGAGAGUAACUGUUCGUGCAGUGACGGUAUCUGGCCAGAAAGCCACGGCUAACUACGUGCCAGCCGCCGCAGUAA
rnacentral:rRNA from 1 species